UGAUGCCUGGCAGUUCCCUACUCUCGCAUGGGGAGACCCCACACUACCAUCGGCGCUACGGCGUUUCACUUCUGAGUUCGGCAUGGGGUCAGGUGGGACCACCGCGCUANNNNNNNNNNNNNNNNNNNNAGGUGGGACCACCGCGCUACUGCCGCCAGGCAAAUUCUGUUAUCAGACCGUUUUUACGUUCUGAUGUAAUCUGAAUCAGUGCUGAAAAUCGUCUCUCAUCCNNNNNNNNNNNNNNNNNNNNGAAUCAGUGCUGAAAAUCGUCUCUCAUCCGCCAAAACAUCUUCGGCGUUGUAAGGUUAAGCCUCACGGUUCAUUAGUACCGGUUAGCUCAACGCAUCGCUGCGCUUACACACCCGGCCUAUCAACGUCGUCGUCUUCAACGUUCCUUCAGGAGACCUAAAGUCUCAGGGAGAACUCAUCUCGGGGCAAGUUUCGUGCUUAGAUGCUUUCAGCACUUAUCUCUUCCGCAUUUAGCUACCGGGCAGUGCCAUUGGCAUGACAACCCGAACACCAGUGAUGCGUCCACUCCGGUCCUCUCGUACUAGGAGCAGCCCCCCUCAGUUCUCCAGCGCCCACGGCAGAUAGGGACCGAACUGUCUCACGACGUUCUAAACCCAGCUCGCGUACCACUUUAAAUGGCGAACAGCCAUACCCUUGGGACCUACUUCAGCCCCAGGAUGUGAUGAGCCGACAUCGAGGUGCCAAACACCGCCGUCGAUAUGAACUCUUGGGCGGUAUCAGCCUGUUAUCCCCGGAGUACCUUUUAUCCGUUGAGCGAUGGCCCUUCCAUUCAGAACCACCGGAUCACUAUGACCUGCUUUCGCACCUGCUCGCGCCGUCACGCUCGCAGUCAAGCUGGCUUAUGCCAUUGCACUAACCUCCUGAUGUCCGACCAGGAUUAGCCAACCUUCGUGCUCCUCCGUUACUCUUUAGGAGGAGACCGCCCCAGUCAAACUACCCACCAGACACUGUCCGCAACCCGGGUAACGGGUCCACGUUAGAACAUCAAACAUUAAAGGGUGGUAUUUCAAGGUCGGCUCCAUGCAGACUGGCGUCCACACUUCAAAGCCUCCCACCUAUCCUACACAUCAAGGCUCAAUGUUCAGUGUCAAGCUAUAGUAAAGGUUCACGGGGUCUUUCCGUCUUGCCGCGGGUACACUGCAUCUUCACAGCGAGUUCAAUUUCACUGAGUCUCGGGUGGAGACAGCCUGGCCAUCAUUACGCCAUUCGUGCAGGUCGGAACUUACCCGACAAGGAAUUUCGCUACCUUAGGACCGUUAUAGUUACGGCCGCCGUUUACCGGGGCUUCGAUCAGGAGCUUCGCUUGCGCUGACCCCAUCAAUUAACCUUCCGGCACCGGGCAGGCGUCACACCGUAUACGUCCACUUUCGUGUUUGCACAGUGCUGUGUUUUUAAUAAACAGUUGCAGCCAGCUGGUAUCUUCGACUGACUUCAGCUCCAUGAGUAAAUCACUUCACCUACGUGUCAGCGUGCCUUCUCCCGAAGUUACGGCACCAUUUUGCCUAGUUCCUUCACCCGAGUUCUCUCAAGCGCCUUGGUAUUCUCUACCUGACCACCUGUGUCGGUUUGGGGUACGAUUUGAUGUUACCUGAUGCUUAGAGGCUUUUCCUGGAAGCAGGGCAUUUGUUGCUUCAGCACCGUAGUGCCUCGUCGUCACGCCUCAGUGUUAAAGUGAACCGGAUUUACCUGGAACACACACCUACACGCUUAAACCGGGACAACCGUCGCCCGGCCAACAUAG
rnacentral:rRNA from 1 species